CUUGAAGAUUAUUUUGUAGAAAUAUUCAGAGACGUAUGCAAAGAUUUAUCUGCAAGCAUGUUUAUCAGAACCAUUUAUAGUAGCAAAAAUUUUUGACAGUACCUAAAUGUCUAAAUGUAGGAAUGAAUAAAUGAAUUAUAUUUCAUUCUUACUAUAGGAUAUUAUGCAGUCAUUAAAAUACUAUUUUAACACUUUUUUUAGAAAAGGUAAUGCUAUAUAAAAUUUAAUAUUAAGCAAAAAUACUGAGAUUCAAAACUUCUGAUGACAAGUUUAUUUUAUAUAACUAUAUUACACCUGGGAAGAAAUGCCUGUGGUUGACAACAGGUGAUUUUUUUUUUAUAUUGUUACUGUUGCUUUUUAUUCUAUUUUCCUCCCGCAAUGUUUUUCAUAUAAAAUUACUUUGAAUUGUUUUUUGUUUAUUUAAUCAAUAUACACAGGUGAUGAAAGGAGGGAGAAUUGUUGGUAAAAAGAGGCACAGAGUCAAGGUAAUGUUAGAAUACAAAUGAUUUACAUGUUUUGAAAAAUAAAGAGCCAGCAGAGAAGACAUUGAAGUCAAGCAGAGAAAAAUGAUAAUUGUAUAGAAAAGUCCCAGAGACUUCAAGGAUUACCACAUUUAGUACUUAGGUAAAGGGGUUGGUCUCAAGUAGAAGGCUAAUGAUAGUGGGUUGGUAGAUACGUAAGUGAAACUAUGACAUGCUUUGAGUCCGUCUGAUUGUCACAAUAACUCUAUAAUGUAGGUCUUACUGUUUUACAGACCAAUAAAUUGAGUUUUAAAGAUGUUAGGUGAAGAACAAUUAAAUUCUAGAAAACUUUGGUGAGAUGGGGUCCAGCAUUUGUACAGUUGAAGCAAAUAAGGUAUUUAUAUGUUAUAGAUGAAAUGAUUUCAAACUGCCAGGAGUUAUUUGGUACAGAUUGUCAGUAAGCACAGUACAGUGAACAUGCAUGAAUUUGCAGAAAGUAGAUGAGGGGAAAUUGCCAGAAAUAAUCCUAGUCAAAAUGGACCUUACCUAACUUACUUCAGUUUUCUCUAUUUCUUGUUUUGACCCCCAAAUUGAACAUCGGUUAUUUGUAAGCCUGUAAAAAUACUCAUUUCUGGGUCUUCAGUGUCUCUCAUUAAAUGUUGUUAGAUGUGUAGACAU
rnacentral:lncRNA from 1 species